AUUGAACGCUGGCGGCAUGCCUUACACAUGCAAGUCGAACGGCAGCGGGGACUUCGGUCCGCCGGCGAGUGGCGAACGGGUGAGUAAUGUAUCGGAACGUACCAUUCAGUGGGGGAUAACUAUCCGAAAGGAUAGCUAAUACCGCAUAUUCUGUGAGCAGGAAAGCAGGGGAUCGCAAGACCUUGCGCUGAUUGAGCGGCCGAUAUCAGAUUAGCUAGUUGGUGAGGUAAAGGCUCACCAAGGCGACGAUCUGUAGCGGGUCUGAGAGGAUGAGCCGCCACACUGGAACUGAGACACGGUCCAGACUCCUACGGGAGGCAGCAGUGGGGAAUUUUGGACAAUGGGCGCAAGCCUGAUCCAGCCAUUCCGCGUGAGUGAAGAAGGCCUUCGGGUUGUAAAGCUCUUUCGCAAGGGAAGAAAACUUAUCCUCUAACAUAGGGUGAGGUUGACGGUACCUUGAUAAGAAGCACCGGCUAACUACGUGCCAGCAGCCGCCGUAAGAC
rnacentral:rRNA from 1 species